UCCUACGGGAGGCAGCAGUGGGGAAUAUUGCACAAUGGGGGAAACCCUGAUGCAGCCAUGCCGCGUGUGUGAAGAAGGCCUUCGGGUUGUAAAGCACUUUCAGCGAGGAGGAAAGGGUGUAAGUUAAUACCUUACAUCUGUGACGUUACUCGCAGAAGAAGCACCGGCUAACUCCGUGCCAGCAGCCGCGG
rnacentral:rRNA from 1 species